GAGCGUCCCAAUGAAAAAUAAUCCCCAAAAAAAGAAUCGCAAAAUCCCAAAUCAAAAGUCACAAAUCGCACGCAAAAAACAAUACCAAUGCGGCCUAGUGAAGCAAGUGAAUGACUAAUUUAGAAACAAAAGACAAUCAAACUUUCCAUCUAAUCCAUGCACCCCACUGUAAAAUAAAUUGAAAAAAAACAACAGUAAGUCCGAUGACCGAUACAAUGGUGGCCCCCCAUGUGAGAUUGCCCUCUGCCCCUUCUUCUCCUACCUUUUCCUCUCUCUCUCUCUCUCUUUGCUUUGCCACUCUCAUUUUUUAAUCUCUGAAACAACAACAAUUGCAAAAGCCCCCCCAUGUUAUUGAUCUGAUCCAAAACACUCCAAUAGAAAACAGAACAAGAGUUAGAUCUCAUCUUUUCUCCUUCUAUUUCCUUUGUUUUGUGCAUUUAAUGCCCCAUUUUCAGGUUGGCUCUUUGGUCAUGUUUUUUACUUGAGUUCUCACCCAGCUGGCCGCUUGUAAUUUCCCUUUUUCCUUUUUGGCAUCCACCGCCAUACUAAAUGCUUCUGCCAAGUGCCAAUGCUGUAAACUAAGGGAGUAGCAUACAGUCAAAACUCAAAAACAAUAGAGGAUUGCAUUGAAUAUCAUUUCAUGGCAACAACUACAACUACAAAUAUAUCAUCUGCUCAGCUCAAAGUACAAGUCCAACCCAUCAAGCCUAAGCGCCGCAAGUGCAAGGAAACCACCAUUUCUUCCUCUGCUUCCUCGGUGGCUACUGGUUCUGCUGCUUCCGGUGCUACGAACAACUGUGCUGAAUCGGGUGGUGUUCAUGGAGUUCUAAGCCGGAAACUUGACUCGCCCACCAUUGUUUCUCCUGAUAGGUCUUGGUGUUGCCCUGCUUCCAAGCCCCUUCCAACGCCCCCUCCUUCUCCACCUCCGCUUCCGCCGCAAGCUCGCCGUGUCCCGGACCAGGGGUUAACAGAUUCUUUGUCGGGCUUCAGGAUCCGAUAUUCUCCAGGAAGCGUAUUGCCUGUCAUGGACUUUACGGGCGGAACAUUGCUCUCCAAUGGUCAUUCUCCGUCGAGUUUCAACAAGUUCAACUCUGCACUGACGGCGGGUCUCUUAAACCCGAUGUCCCCACCGCCUCCAGCGGACAAGAUACGGUCCAGCCCGACACUUUUCGAGAUGAUGGCUAGCGAGCCCGAUAUCCAUCAAAGAACCCAAAACCAAGCUCAGAUCCAAGCACCCAUUUCAGCUCCGAGACAAAAUCAACCCCCGCCUGUUAUGGAUAAGCAGGUAUUGACCAUGCAACGAAUUUCGGAUCUUUUAUCGACCCGGAGCCCUGGGAACCAGUUUAACGACCCGGGUUUGAGUGAUAUAAAGCUGACCUUGAGUUCCAAGGACGGGAUUAGUGUGUCAAUGAACGUUCACCGGCAAAUACUGAUGGCUCACAGUAGGUUUUUUGCUGUGAGGUUAUCGGAUCGAUGGACAAAGCAGCAGAGGAAUGGAUCAACUGGGCCGUACAUUGUGGAAAUAUCAGACUGUGAUGACGUUGAGGUUUAUAUAGAGACCUUGAGGUUGAUGUAUUGCAAAGAUUUGAGGAAGAAGCUAAUGAGAGAAGACGUUUCUAAGGUUCUUGGAAUUUUGAAGGUUUCAGCGGCCAUUGGAUUUGAUGCUGGGGUUUUGUCUUGUUUGGAGUAUUUGGAAGCCGCUCCUUGGGCUGAGGAUGAAGAGGAGAAAGUGGCUUCUUUAUUGGCGGAGCUCCACCUCGAAAACGUUGGAGCCGGGGAGGUUUUGAAGAGGGUUUCCGUUGAAGUUGCUAAUGGAACUGAUGAGGGUGGUGAUAAUGAAGAAGUGCUUCUCAAGCUUUUGCAUGUGGUUCUUGAAGGCAAAGAUGAGAAAGCAAGGCGUGAAAUGAAAGGAUUGGUCUUUAAGAUGCUUCGCGAGAAUUCAUCUCACAACGAUCUCCGGAAAGAGUCUUUAUAUUCAGCUUGCGAUAGCUGUCUGGAAUUGCUUCGACACCUUUUUUUCCGAGCAGCAUCUUUGGAUUUGCAGGAUGCGAGUCAGAUUGCAAGACAAGCAGAUAAUUUGCACUGGAUUUUGGACAUUUUGAUUGAUAGGCAGAUUGCUGAAGAGUUUCUAAAAACAUGGGCUUCUCAAUCUGAAUUGUCCGGUGCUCAUUCUAAAGUUCCGGUUGUCCACAGGUUUGAAGUCAGCAGAGUUACAGCUCGGCUAUUUGUGGGAAUCGGAAAGGGGCAGUUAUUGGCAUCGAAGGAAGUAAGGUGGCUGCUAUUACAAACAUGGUUGGUACCAUUUUACGAUGAUUUUGGGUGGAUGAGGAGGGCAUCGAAAGGCCUCGAUAGACAUUUAAUCGAGGAUGGGCUUAGCAACUCGAUUCUCACUCUGCCUCUGGCUUGGCAACAGGAGAUUUUUCUGGCUUGGUUUGAUAGAUUCUUGAACUCUGGUGAAGAUUGUCCCAACAUUCAAAGAGGUUUCGAAGUUUGGUGGAGGAGGGCUUUCUGGCGACGCAGUGGUGAACAAGAACCACCAUUGCCAAUACGAGUCAUAACAACAGCCAUCGAGAACUCUUAAAGUUCCUAUCUCCAUGGUGCAGAACCAGUGGUACUAUAAUGGGUUUGUUUCUCCUUCUCAUUUUUUCAAUGCUUUGGUCCUCGUUCUACACCGUUGGCUCAGUUUAAUCGAGUUCUCAUAGGAAGUGCAUCCUGUAAGAUGGUACCAGAGGAGGAGGAUAACUACUUUUGGUGGCUUGCUGGCAUUGAUAUCAUAGGUGAAAGUACCAUAUAUAUAUAUAUAUGUAUAUAUAUUUAAAAUAUAUAUUUUUUGCUGGCAUUGAUAUCAUAGGGAAUGACUUCUUUACUGGUUUUCCUGUGGGAAUAAGUAUAACCCAUUAACAGGUUUGGAAUAGCUUUAGGCAAAAAUAUACUUUCCUUAAUCGAGGAUUUUGGCUUUGGACUUUUUGAAAAGAAGAUAUUGGCUUUGACAUUGAAUCACUGAUUCUCAAUUUCUGUAAAGUUAACUACAAUAUGUAUAUUCGUAUCAUGUUUGAAUUAUUUUUUCGUAUCAUAA